CCUUUGACGUUAGCGGCGGACGGGUGAAUAACACGUGGGUAACCUACCUAUAAGACUGGGAUAACUUCGGGAAACCGGAGCUAAUACCGGAUAAUAUUUCGAACCGCAUGGUUCGAUAGUGAAAGGUGGUUUUGCUAUCACUUAUAGAUGGACCCGCGCCGUAUUAGCUAGUUGGUAAGGUAACGGCUUACCAAGGCGACGAUACGUAGCCGACCUGAGAGGGUGAUCGGCCACACUGGAACUGAGACACGGUCCAGACUCCUACGGGAGGCAGAGCG
rnacentral:rRNA from 1 species